CAGGCCUAACACAUGCAAGUCGAACGGUAGCACAGAGAGCUUGCUCUUGGGUGACGAGUGGCGGACGGGUGAGUAAUGUCUGGGAAACUGCCCGAUGGAGGGGGAUAACUACUGGAAACGGUAGCUAAUACCGCAUAACGUUCUUCGGACCAAAGUGGGGGACCUUCGGGCCUCACACCAUCGGAUGUGCCCAGAUGGGAUUAGCUAGAAGGUGGGGUAACGGCGCACCGAGGCGACGAGCCCGAGCUGGGCUGAGAGGAUGACCAGCCACACUGGAACUGAGACACGGGCCAGAUGCCAACGGGAGGCAGCAUUGGGGAAGAUUGCACAAUGGGCGCAAGCCUGAUGCAGCCAUGCCGCGUGGAUGAAGAAGGCCUGCGGGUUUGAAAGGACUUGCAGUGGGGAGGAAGGCGAUGAAGUGAAGAGCUUGAGGCGAUUGACGUGACCCGCAGAAGAAGCACCGGCGAACGCCGUGCCAGCAGCCGCG
rnacentral:rRNA from 1 species